AUUGAACGCUGGUGGUAUGCUUAACACAUGCAAGUCGAACGGUAACAUUGGAGCUUGCUCCAGAUGACGAGUGGCGGACGGGUGAGUAACGCGUAGGAAUCUGCCUAGUAGUGGGGGACAACAUGUGGAAACGCAUGCUAAUACCGCAUACGCCCUACGGGGGAAAGCGAGGGAUCUUCGGACCUCGCGCUAUUAGAUGAGCCUGCGUUAGAUUAGCUAGUUGGUGGGGUAAUGGCCUACCAAGGCGACGAUCUAUAGCUGGUCUGAGAGGACGAUCAGCCACACUGGGACUGAGACGCGGCCCAGACUCCUACGGGAGGCAGCAGUGGGGAAUAUUGGACAAUGGGCGAAAGCCUGAUCCAGCAAUACCACGUGUGUGAAGAAGGCCUGAGGGUUGUAAAGCACUUUCAAUUGGGAGGAAAACAGCUGGGUUAAUAGCCCUGCUCUUGACAUUACCUUUAGAAGAAGCACCGGCUAACUCCGUGCCAGCAGCCGCGGUAAUACGGAGGGUGCGAGCGUUAAUCGGAAUUACUGGGCGUAAAGCGUACGUAGGCGGUUAUUUAAGUCAGAUGUGAAAGCCCCGGGCUCAACCUGGGAACUGCAUUUGAUACUGGAUAACUAGAGUUUGAUAGAGGAGAGUAGAAUUUCUGGUGUAGCGGUGAAAUGCGUAGAGAUCAGAAGGAAUACCAGUGGCGAAGGCGGCUCUCUGGAUCAAAACUGACGCUGAGGUACGAAAGCGUGGGUAGCAAACAGGAUUAGAUACCCUGGUAGUCCACGCCGUAAACGAUGUCAACUAGCCGUUGGGUCCAAUUAAGGACUUAGUGGUGCAGCUAACGCAUUAAGUUGACCGCCUGGGGAGUACGGCCGCAAGGCUAAAACUCAAAUGAAUUGACGG
rnacentral:rRNA from 1 species